CAGUCCAUGCUGUGACCCUCUGUACUCCAUCAGAACUGGAGCUGUUAGCAAACAAACUGAAACUCUCCUCAGGAAACAACGACUGGCAAAAGAAUGAAGCUGUCUUUAACCCUUCUGUUUCUCCAGCUGUGGGAGAACGUGGAACUCUCUUCGUCACAGAAUGCAUGUUCAAAGCUCCCUGAUGUUCCACAUGCUCAUGUGUCAGAAGAAACCAAAAAAGCUGAGUACCAAGAAGGAGACGUGAUACAUUUCACCUGUGAAUCUGGUUAUAUAUCAGACCACACUUCAAAAUAUGUCUGCACAGGGGCAGGGUGGCUAGCAGUCCGUCGGGGAAUGUGCUACUCAUGUUCAGUGCUCCCAGAUGUUCCUCACGCCCAUGUGACAGAUGAAACCAGAAAAGCCGAAUAUCAAGAAGGAGACGUGAUCCAUUUUACUUGUGAACCUGGUUAUACGUCAGAGCUGACCAUCAAAUAUGUAUGUGCGAGUGAGGGUUGGCUGGCAGUCAGCCAGGGACUAUGUUACUACCCUUGUCAAGUUGGCAAGAUGCAUCCUCGUCUCUUUGUAGCUGGAUUACCACCACCAAAUGAAAGAAUAAAACUGGACAUAAAUUACAGUUUCAGUGCAGCAAUGACUUGACACUAAAUGGGUCUGAAAAAAUUGAGUGUUUACAAACUGGACAGUGGAGUGCCCCCUUCCCAACAUGCUCUGAUAUUACUUGUGAAGUUGGUGUUCUGCAUCCUGAUCUUAUUGUAACUGGAAUACUAUCAGCAAGUGAACCUGUUCAAGUUGGAUAUAAAUUACAGUUUGACUGCAGCGGUGAGCUUCAACUUGGUGGAUCUAAUGAAACAGAAUGUUUA